UAAAGACCUAACCUAAUAUUUAAAUAAUAAAAGCAACUGCUUAAAACUUAAAGAACAUGGCGGUGUCUUAUAAACUCAGGGGAACCUGUCCCUUAAUUUGAUAAUCCACACACUUCCUAACCAAUCUUUGCUUAAACCUGUAUACUGCUGUCGCCAGCAAGCUUACAUAAAAGCUUGCACAAACUAAAACGUCAAGUCAAAGUGCAGUUUAUAUUUUGGAGAGAGAUGGGUUACAACCUAAAUAAAGAUAACUUACACAUAUAAAUAAACUACGAGGUGGACUUGACAGUAAUGUUAUAAAUCAUAAACAUUUAUCUAAGACAUGUACACAUCGCCCGUCACUCCCAUAAAAAUG
rnacentral:rRNA from 1 species